CUCUGGAUUUGAAGAACAAUUCAUCCAACGGAUUCAAAAAGAACAUACCUCAGAAAGUGAAACGAGUUUGGUGGCCAGUUAUUUUCCCAUUCAUUUUCGUUGGCAUCCUUGUUAUGUUCUUCUGCCUGUGUCUACACUGUAAGGAAAGCAGAUGCAUCUCUGACCAGAGUGAAGGGGACAAUUCUGCAGCAUCAAGCAGUUGGAGCAUUCCUGAGCAGAACCUUACAGAGGAACGACAAUUGAUUCGGCAUUUGAGGACUCGCCAAGACA